AUUUGUUUAUGUAUCUGAAUUGAUUUACAUCCUCCCACCGUUUCUUGGACUUGUAAUGUUGUCCACUGUUCAAUAUUUUGUGGAUAUUGUUUACAAACAUUGUGAAUUUGUUAUGGGUAUGAGCUGAUGGAUUCUCAUGAAUCUCCAAACGUUCCUUUUACCCUACUGCUGACAAGAUUCAAAAAAGCUCCAUCUAUUGUAAUUUAUGACAAUGCUUGUAAAUUACAUACCUACUGCCUGAACAGGUAUCCAGAUUUCUUCAAGGACUCCUGGUUCUUAGUUGAUAGGCUUCAUUGGUUCAACCACA